rnacentral:rRNA from 1 species
CCCCGCAAGGGGAGUGGCAGACGGGUGAGUAACGCGUGGGAACAUACCCUUUCCUGCGGAAUAGCUCCGGGAAACUGGAAUUAAUACCGCAUACGCCCUACGGGGGAAAGAUUUAUCGGGGAAGGAUUGGCCCGCGUUGGAUUAGCUAGUUGGUGGGGUAAAGGCCUACCAAGGCGACGAUCCAUAGCUGGUCUGAGAGGAUGAUCAGCCACAUUGGGACUGAGACACGGCCCAAACUCCUACGGGAGGCAGCAGUGGGGAAUAUUGGACAAUGGGCGCAAGCCUGAUCCAGCCAUGCCGCGUGAGUGAUGAAGGCCUUAGGGUUGUAAAGCUCUUUCACCGAUGAAGAUAAUGACGGUAGUCGGAGAAGAAGCCCCGGCUAACUUCGUGCCAGCAGCCGCGGUAAUACGAAGGGGGCUAGCGUUGUUCGGAAUUACUGGGCGUAAAGCGCACGUAGGCGGAUAUUUAAGUCAGGGGUGAAAUCCCGCAGCUCAACUGCGGAACUGCCUUUGAUACUGGGUAUCUUGAGUAUGGAAGAGGUAAGUGGAAUUCCGAGUGUAGAGGUGAAAUUCGUAGAUAUUCGGAGGAACACCAGUGGCGAAGGCGGCUUACUGGUCC